rnacentral:rRNA from 1 species
CCUUGAAGAUCGGAGUGCUUGCACUCUGUGAAACAAGAUACAGGCUAGCGGCGGACGGGUGAGUAACACGUGGGUAACCUGCCCAAGAGAUCGGGAUAACACCUGGAAACAGAUGCUAAUACCGGAUAACAACAGAUGAUGCCUAUCAACUGUUUAAAAGAUGGUUCUGCUAUCACUCUUGGAUGGACCUGCGGUGCAUUAGCUAGUUGGUAGGGUAACGGCCUACCAAGGCGAUGAUGCAUAGCCGAGUUGAGAGACUGAUCGGCCACAUUGGGACUGAGACACGGCCCAAACUCCUACGGGAGGCAGCAGUAGGGAAUCUUCCACAAUGGACGCAAGUCUGAUGGAGCAACGCCGCGUGAGUGAAGAAGGGUUUCGGCUCGUAAAGCUCUGUUGUUGGUGAAGAAGGACAGGGGUAGUAACUGACCUUUGUUUGACGGCAAUCAAUUAGAAAGUCACGGCUAACUACGUGCCAGCAGCCGCGGUAAUACGUAGGUGGCAAGCGUUGUCCGGAUUUAUUGGGCGUAAAGCGAGUGCAGGCGGUUCGAUAAGUCUGAUGUGAAAGCCUUCGGCUCAACCGGAGAAUUGCAUCAGAAACUGUCGAGCUUGAGUACAGAAGAGGAGAGUGGAACUCCAUGUGUAGCGGUGAAAUGC